AUUUGUUGGAGAGUCUGAAGCAGGUAAAUUUAGCUGAAGACUAUCAAAGGGACAAUUAGAAGGAGCGGCGUGCAGCAGGAGUCCGAACCAAUUGGGAGAAUUUCAUUGAGACUACUGGCUUCGACGCGGGGGAGGCGUACUACAUAUGGGAAAUAUCCUAUCAUCUUCAACAAGUCAAAGAUGCCACAAUAAGAAUGGAAUUUCCGGAAACAAAUACAGUGCAUUGUGAAGACUUGCCCAAUCUAAAGAGUUUUUCCUCAGGAAACAUUGUUGAAUGGCCAUACUUGGAAAAUCUUAUUUUGAACCACUGCCCUAACUUAAAGAAGUUUGGAUUCGGAAAGAUUAAAG